AGUGGGGAAUAUUGCACAAUGGGCGGAAGCCUGAUGCAGCAACGCCGCGUGCGGGAUGACGGCCUUCGGGUUGUAAACCGCUUUCGCCUGUGACGAAGCGUGAGUGACGGUAAUGGGUAAAGAAGCACCGGCUAAUUACGUGCCAGCAGCCGCGGUGAUACGUAGGGUGCGAGCGUUGUCCGGAUUUAUUGGGCGUAAAGGGCUCGUAGGUGGUUGAUCGCGUCGGAAGUGUAAUCUUGGGGCUUAACCCUGAGCGUGCUUUCGAUACGGGUUGACUUGAGGAAGGUAGGGGAGAAUGGAAUUCCUGGUGGAGCGGUGGAAUGCGCAGAUAUCANGAGGAACACCAGUGGCGAAGGCGGUUCUCUGGNCCUUUCCUGACGCUGAUGA
rnacentral:rRNA from 1 species